GACGAACGCUGGCGGCGUGCCUAAUACAUGCAAGUAGAACGCAGUUGCGAACGGGUGAGUAACGCGUAGGUAACUGCCUCAUAGCGGGGGAUAACUAUUUGAAACGAUAGCUAAUACCGCAUACUGUGAGAUGGACCUGCAUUGUAUUAGCUAGUUGGUGAGGUAAAGGCUCACCAAGGCGCCGAUACAUAGCCGACCUGAGAGGGUGACCGGCCACACGGGGACUGAGAACAGGCCAAGACUCCUAGGGGAGAAAGCAGUGGGGAAUUUUGGGCAAUGGAGGGAAGUCUGACCGAGCAACGCGGCGUGUAUGAAGAAGGUUUUCGGAUCGUAAACCUCUGUUUUCGAGGAGGCGGUAUCUAAACAGAAAGCCACGGCUAACUACGUGCCAGCAGCCGCGGUAAUAC
rnacentral:rRNA from 1 species